rnacentral:rRNA from 1 species
UAGGGAAUCUUCGGCAAUGGACGAAAGUCUGACCGAGCAACGCCGCGUGAGUGAAGAAGGUUUUCGGAUCGUAAAACUCUGUUGUUAGAGAAGAACAAGGACGUUAGUAACUGAACGUCCCCUGACGGUAUCUAACCAGAAAGCCACGGCUAACUACGUGCCAGCAGCCGCGGUAAUACGUAGGUGGCAAGCGUUGUCCGGAUUUAUUGGGCGUAAAGCGAGGGCAGGCGGUUUCUUAAGUCUGAUGUGAAAGCCCCCGGCUCAACCGGGGAGGGUAAUUGGAAACUGGGAGACUUGAGUGCAGAAGAGGAGAGUGGAAUUCCAUGUGUAGCGGUGAAAUGCGUAGAUAUAUGGAGGAAAACCAGUGGCGAAGGCGGCUCUCUGGUCUGUAACUGACGCUGAGGCUCGAAAGCGUGGGGAGCAAACAGG